rnacentral:rRNA from 1 species
CAUCAACCCUGUGAACUUACCUAAACGUUGCUUCGGCGGGAAUAGACGGCCCUGUAAAACGGGCCGCCCCCGCCAGAGGACUCUUAACUCUGUUUCUUAUAAUGUUUCUUCUGAGUAAAACAAGCAAAUAAAUUAAAACUUUCAACAACGGAUCUCUUGGCUCUGGCAUCGAUGAAGAACGCAGCGAAAUGCGAUAAGUAAUGUGAAUUGCAGAAUUCAGUGAAUCAUCGAAUCUUUGAACGCACAUUGCGCCCGCCAGUAUUCUGGCGGGCAUGCCUGUUCGAGCGUCAUUACAACCCUCAGGCCCCCGGGCCUGGCGUUGGGGAUCGGCGGAGCGCCCCUCGUGGGCGCACGCCGUCCCCCAAAUACAGUGGCGGUCCCGCCGCAGCUUCCAUCGCGUAGUAGCUAACACCUCGCGACUGGAGAGCGGCGCGGCCACGCCGUAAAACACCCCAACUCUUCUGAAGUUGACCUCGAAUCAGGUAGGAAUACCCGCUGAACUUAAGCAUAUCAAUAAGCGGAGGAAAAGAAACCAACAGGGAUUGCCCCAGUAACGGCGAGUGAAGCGGCAACAGCUCAAAUUUGAAAUCUGGCUCUCGGGCCCGAGUUGUAAUUUGUAGAGGAUGCUUUUGGUGAGGUGCCUUCCGAGUUCCCUGGAACGGGACGCCAUAGAGGGUGAGAGCCCCGUCUGGUUGGACGCCGAACCUCUGUAAAGCUCCUUCGACGAGUCGAGUAGUUUGGGAAUGCUGCUCUAAAUGGGAGGUAUAUGUCUUCUAAAGCUAAAUACCGGCCAGGGACCGAUAGCGCACAAGUAGAGUGAUCGAAAGAUGAAAAGAACUUUGAAAAGAGAGUUAAACAGUACGUGAAAUUGUUGAAAGGGAAGCGCUUGUGACCAGACUUGGGCUUGGUUGAUCAUCCGGGGUUCUCCCCGGUGCACUCUUCCGGCCCAGGCCAGCAUCAGUUCGCCCUGGGGGACAAAGGCUUCGGGAACGUGGCUCUCUCCGGGGAGUGUUAUAGCCCG